rnacentral:rRNA from 1 species
UGAGUACGAGAUGCUACGGCAUCGAAGCAGUCUAUGUCAUACUUCCAAGAAAAGCUUGCACUGUCAUAAACAAAGAAUGCCUGUACCAUAACCGACACAGGUGGGUAGGUAGAGUAUACUAAGGGGCGCGAGAUAACUCUCUCUAAGGAACUCGGCAAAAUGACUCCGUAACUUCGGGAGAAGGAGUGCCUUAUUUCUAAGGUUGCAAUAACAAGAUCCAAGCAACUGUUUACCAAAAACACAGGUCUCCGCUAAGUCGUAAGACGAUGUAUGGGGGCUGACGCCUGCCCAGUGCCAGAAGGUUAAAGAAGUUGGUUAGCAUUAGCGAAGCUGAUAACUGAAGCCCUGGUGAACGGCGGCCGUAACUAUAACGGUCCUAAGGUAGCGAAAUUCCUUGUCGGGUAAGUUCCGACCCGCACGAAAGGCGUAAUGAUUUGGAUACUGUCUCGGAGAGGGGCUCGGUGAAAUAGACUUGUCUGUGAAGAUGCGGACUACCUGCACCUGGACAGAAAGACCCUAUGAGUCUUUACUGUAACUUGAGAUUGAAAUUGGACUUUAUUUGCGCAGUAUAGGUGGGAGGCGUUGAGAAUAAUCUUGCGGGAUUGUUGGAGCCAUCAGUGAGAUACCACUCUUGUAAUGUUAGAUUUCUAACUUUGUAUCAUUAUCUGGUCAAAGAACAGUUUCAGGCGGGCAGUUUGACUGGGGCGGUCGCCUCCCAAAGGGUAACGGAGGCGCACAAAGGUUUCCUCUGAACGGGUAGAAAUCGUAUCUAGAGUGUAAAGGCAUAAGGAAGCUUGACUGUGAGACCUACAAGUCGAGCAGGGACGAAAGUCGGUCUUAGUGAUCUGACGGUGCUGAGUGGAAAGGCCGUCACUCAACGGAUAAAAGUUACUCUAGGAUAACAGGCAGAUCUCCCCCAAGAGUUCACAUCGACGGGGAGGUUUGGCACCUCGAUGUCGGCUCAUCGCAUCCUGGGGCGGUAGUCCGUCCCAAGGGUUGGGCUGUUCGCCCAUGAAAGCGGUACGCGAGCUGGGUUCAGAACGUCGUGAGACAGUUCGGUCCAUAUCCGGUGUAGGCGUUAGAAUAUUGAGAGGAGCCUUCUCUAGUACGAGAGGACCGAGAAGGACAUACCUCUGGUGUACCAGUUAUCGUGCCAACGGUAAACGCUGGGUAGCUAUGUAUGGAGUGGAUAACCGCUGAAAGCAUCUAAGUGGGAAGCCCACCUCAAGAUAAGUAUUCUCAUC